rnacentral:lncRNA from 1 species
AGGAACAAAAAAGAGAAAGAUUGCAGCAACAAAAUAUUCAGUCCCAAUCAGUACAAGAAUAUUACAUAUCUCAUGGUUUUGUUAUAAGUUAUUAUCCCAGAAAACCAAAAUAAAAUAAAAUAAAAUAAAAGCAGUGGCUGAUGUAUGCCUGGACUUCCCCAUGUAUGCCACCGAGAUUCCUCCUUGCUUCUUCUUACAUCAUCUCCAUGCCUUACAUUUUUCAACUCUUGAAGCGCAGCCCAAGUUUAUAAAGAUAUAGGAAAGUUGAGGAUGUUUCAAACAAGACAUCCCUA